GGCUGGUGUGGCAUAGUGUUUUGAGUGUUGGACUACGACUCUAGGGACCAGGGUUUGAUUCCCACCUCGGCCA